rnacentral:ncRNA from 1 species
AUUGAGCUGAAAUGUGGGUUGUAGUUGAUAAAAACAAAUCCGCGAUUUUGAUCGAUUGCAUGGAAUAGUGGAUUCCAGUCAAAAAGAACGAGCAUGCUACCUGGCAAAGAAUUUGCGACAAACAUUUUGCCAGACGCAAUCAUGUUCGCACGCAU